rnacentral:lncRNA from 1 species
UAAAUCACUAAUACAUAUUACACUUGGUCACUUCCCAUUUCCCAUUUCCCAUUUCCCAAACCUAAAUAAAGAAUUAGAUUUAGGGUUCUCAAACCUACAUCAAUUGAAAAGUUCGCCUCUUCGGUUCUUCCUUCUUCCUGUGCGACUGCUGCGACUGCGACUGCGACUGCGACUGCUGUGACUCUUCGUCGCCGUCUCGCCGACUAUUGCGACUUCUUCUGAGUUCCUGUGAGUUCUGCGCCUUCUUCCUCAGCUCAACUAUGACGCCUUCUUCCUCAGCUCGUCGCUCAUCCUUCAUCCUCAGAUUAGUGUGAGUUCUUAUGAGUUAUGAAGAAAGAAAAUGUCUUAAUCUUUUGUGUAUGUUGACUUUCAAUUAGUCUCACGGCUAGUCUUUUGUUUAUGUUGAUUUUCAAUUAGUCUCACUGUUAUUCUUUUGUGUAUGAAGAAAGAAAAUGUCUCACUGUCUUAGUCUUUCACUUUAGUAUAUUUCAAAAUCAGGUCUAACGUAUGGACAACUUUACUUUAGUAUUACGCACCAUAAUUUCUCUCAAAAUUUCAAAAAGCAAUCAAGUACAUCAAUAAAAUAAUAAGGUGCUUGGAUAUUUCUGUCAAAGGAGGUUUAUGGCCAACCGAAAAAGUAAAGGAUUUGCUUUACAUACCACUACAAUAAAUAAGUAUUGUAAAUAAACUCUAAAGUUAAAAGAGAAAGAUGCUUGGAUGUUUCUGCCAAAUGAAGUUUCUAGGUAGAUGGCCAACCUAAAAAGCAAAGGAUUUGCUUUACAUACCACUACAAUAAAUAAGUAAUGUAAAUAAACUCUAAAGUUAAAAAAGAAAUAUACAGAUUAAACAUGUUUCCACUUAUGAACAUAGAAAAAUUAGUAUCUACACAUAAUCGUUUGAUAAUUAUUUGAACAAGUGGUAAGUUUAAAGAUUUGCUUGUUUUAUGAUAUUAUUUUGUUAUUUAUAAUUAAAAAUAUUUUAUUAACUUGUGAAAUUUUCUAAUUUUUCUUUGUAGGUUCAACUAUGCCUCGUGGUCCCAAAGCUAGAUCGCUUAUUUGAGAACAUUUUGAGCUAGUUAAAGUAAAUGAAGAAGCACGCAAAGCAAAGUGUCUUCAUUGUGGUCGUGUUUAUAAUUGUCAUCCAAAGUAUUAUGGCACUUAUGGCUUAGUGAAAUAUAUUAAGAAGUGUCUCAUGCCUCUGUGAUUCGUAUUUAAGGCUUUAAGUAUUAUUUUCUAGACUUACUUUAUGGCUUAUGGGUUGUGACUAGUUUUUCACUGUUUUGUUGUUUGGUGAUGGUAUUUCUAGACUUAUUUUGGACUUUGGUAGCUGCUAGAUUUGCCACUGUGUUAAACUGUUUUGGACUAGUUUGCCACUACUGAACUGUGCGGUAUUUUGCUACUUAGGUGUUCUAUUUGCACUGAUGCCACUGAAGGUCUCCCUGC